GGCAACGGAUAUCUCGGCUCUCGCAUCGAUGAAGAACGUAGCGAAAUGCGAUACUUGGUGUGAAUUGCAGAAUCCCGUGAACCAUCGAGUUUUUGAACGCAAGUUGCGCCCGAAGCCUUGGCUGAGGGCACGUCUGCCUGGGCGU
rnacentral:rRNA from 1 species